GACGAACGCUGGCGGCGUGCUUAACACAUGCAAGUCGAACGGAAAGGCCCUGCUUUUGUGGGGUGCUCGAGUGGCGAACGGGUGAGUAACACGUGAGUAACCUGCCCUUGACCUUGGGAUAACUUCAGGAAACUGGGGCUAAUACCGGAUAGGAGCUCCUGCUGCAUGGUGGGGGUUGGAAAGAUUCGGCGGUUGGGGAUGGACUCGCGGCUUAUCAGCUUGUUGGUGGGGUAGUGGCUUACCAAGGCUUUGACGGGUAGCCGGCCUGAGAGGGUGACCGGCCACAUUGGGACUGAGAUACGGCCCAGACUCCUACGGGAGGCAGCAGUGGGGAAUAUUGCACAAUGGGCGGAAGCCUGAUGCAGCAACGCCGCGUGCGGGAUGACGGCCUUCGGGUUGUAAACCGCUUUCGCCUGUGACGAAGCGUGAGUGACGGUAAUGGGUAAAGAAGCACCGGCUAACUACGUG
rnacentral:rRNA from 1 species